rnacentral:rRNA from 1 species
CUAGUCUUAUCGGUGGAUCACUCGGCUCGUGGAUCGAUGAAGAACGCAGCCAACUGCGAUAAUUAGUGUGAACUGCAGAAACCUUGAACACAGAACUUUCGAAUGCACAUUGCGCCAUUGGAGUGACAUCCAUU